rnacentral:misc_RNA from 1 species
GUCUCCAAUUUUGCAAACACCCAAUGAUCUCAAGUUAGUAGCACCGCCACCUUAACCAAUACAAGGUGUAGCCAAAAAGAUCACUUGUAUGCACAACACAAAAAUGGUCCUACCUUACAACUUGAACAAGGCUUCUUUUUUUUUUUAUAACGGUUUCCCUUCAUCUUUUCCAUAAAUUCGUUGAAGUUCACGGGUCGCAGCUAGAAAUGAUUCUUUCCAAAGAUGAAAGGACUUCUGGUUGAUAGGUGAUCCAGUUAUUGUCUGAAUAACUUCAAAAAGCAUACUCUGAGGAGUGCUUCUUAGCUCUUGGACAAUGCCAUAGAUGGUCUUCCCAUUCUCAAAAUAUAUGUGAUU